UACGUAGGGUGCGAGCGUUGUCCGGAAUUACUGGGCGUAAAGAGCUCGUAGGUGGUUUGUCGCGUUGUCCGUGAAAACUCACAGCUCAACUGUGGGCGUGCGGGCGAUACGGGCAGACUGGAGUACUGCAGGGGAGACUGGAAUUCCCUGGUGUAGCGGUGGAAUGCGCAGAUAUCAGGAGGAACACCGGUGGCGAAGGCGGGUCUCUGGGCAGUAACUGACGCUGAGGAGCGAAAGCGUGGGGAGCGAACAGG
rnacentral:rRNA from 1 species